AGAGUUUGAUCCUGGCUCAGGAUGAACGCUGACAGAAUGCUUAACACAUGCAAGUCUACUUGAACUUCGGUUUGGGUGGCGGACGGGUGAGUAACGCGUAAAGAACUUGCCUCACAGUUUGGGACAACAUUUGGAAACGAAUGCUAAUACCGAAUAUUAUGAUCGAAUGGCAUCAUUUGAUUAUGAAAGCUAUAUGCGCUGUGAGAGAGCUUUGCGUCCCAUUAGCUAGUUGGAGAGGUAACGGCUCACCAAGGCGAUGAUGGGUAGCCGGCCUGAGAGGGUGAACGGCCACAAGGGGACUGAGACACGGCCCUUACUCCUACGGGAGGCAGCAGUGGGGAAUAUUGGACAAUGGACCAAAAGUCUGAUCCAGCAAUUCUGUGUGCACGAUGAAGUUUUUCGGAAUGUAAAGUGCUUUCAGUUGGGAAGAAGAAAGUGACGGUACCAACAGAAGAAGUGACGGCUAAAUACGUGCCAGCAGCCGCGGUAAUACGUAUGUCACAAGCGUUAUCCGGAUUUAUUGGGCGUAAAGCGCGUCUAGGCGGUUAAUUAAGUCUGAUGUGAAAAUGCGGAGCUCAACUCCGUAUUGCGUUGGAAACUGGUUAACUAGAGUACUGGAGAGGUAAGCGGAACUACAAGUGUAGAGGUGAAAUUCGUAGAUAUUUGUAGGAAUGCCGAUGGGGAAGCCAGCUUACUGGACAGAUACUGACGCUAAAGCGCGAAAGCGUGGGUAGCAAACAGGAUUAGAUACCCUGGUAGUCCACGCCGUAAACGAUGAGUGCUAAGU
rnacentral:rRNA from 1 species